rnacentral:rRNA from 1 species
GAUGAACGCUAGCGACAGGCUUAACACAUGCAAGUCGAGGGGCAGCAUGAGGGUAGCAAUACUCUUGAUGGCGACCGGCGCACUGGUGAGUAACACGUAUGCAACCUGCCCCGCGCAGGGGGAUAAUCCGGAGAAAUCUGGUCUAAUACCCCGUACGCCUUGAUGCUGCAUGGCAUUAAGGUAAAAGGAGCGAUCCGGCACGGGAUGGGCAUGCGGCGCAUUAGCUAGUCGGCGGGGUAACGGCCCACCGAGGCGACGAUGCGUAGGGGUUCUGAGAGGAAGGUCCCCCACACUGGUACUGAGACACGGACCAGACUCC